AAUGGUCAUAUCUUUUUCUAUUUGAUACAUGCAAAAGAAAGGGAAAUAUAUGGCUAAACUUGUGACGAAUAAAAGUUCUACACACAUUUUAUAAAGCGAUUCUUCAGAACUUUUAUUCAUAUGAAAGCCAAGGGAAACUGGGAAUUGGGGGAAGGGCUCUUUUUCGAGGAGAGACUAGCAGCGUGUCUUGCAUUUACACAGUGGAUUGCAUACAGAGGCAGCUAGAAGUCACGACAGAGUUAUGAGAUGGCAUGCAUCUUGUACCGGAGAUCCAAGGCAUACGGGAAGAGAAAUACCUUAAAGCAACCAACAAUAUGUUGUUUAAACUGAAGCAAACGUUCAAACAUGGCCGCAAAGCUAAAUGUGCGAAUCAUAGACCACUAUAUCUAAGGGGAAAUCAGUUUCAGACGCAUGUCGCAGAAUGGCAGCACGACACGUUGAUGUUGUAUUGUUGACUGAUGCCAAUGCUUCGUUAUUUGGAAUGCUUUGUUAUUUGGAAUAAUGACUAACAUGGAUAAUGCUACUAGAGUUAUUGCCAAGGGUCUGUGACCGGAUCAGAAAAUGGUGUCAAAAGUAAUGACCCGAAAUCCUUUAUUUGUGACAUCAAAUACGUUGGCUAUUGAUGCUCUACAAAAGAUGGUCUAAGAACAAAAAGUUUAAUACUGUAAAAGGAUGUGAGAAGAUUUGAAGAAGAAAGAAAGGAAAAGACAUGGGAAGACAGGGGAAAUAGAGUACAAUUAUACCUGUGACUAUGUUAUAAUUUAUAGAGUACAUGUUACAUUGGAUGAAAACUUGCAAUCGUUUUAGUAUGUAAUUCAAAAUGUGUUGCAUAGUGCAUAGUUCAUUUUCAUUAUGCAAGACAGGGGAAAUUUUAUAGAGUAUGUAAUUCAAAUUGGUUAUUAAAACUUCUCUCUAAUAUGUUAAUUCAAAUAUGAGUGAAGUCAGAGCCCGAUCAGGGUCAAACGACGUAUGAAUGUCGAUUUUUUAAGUCAAAAUUUGGGGUAUGACAAUAUCCAAUUGUUUUUUU